rnacentral:rRNA from 1 species
CAGUAGCCGCGUGAAUACGGAGGGUGCAAGCGUUAUCCGGAUUUAUUGGGUUUAAAGGGUCCGUAGGCGGAUCUGUAAGUCAGUGGUGAAAUCUCACAGCUUAACUGUGAAACUGCCAUUGAUACUGCAGGUCUUGAGUAAAUUUGAAGUGGCUGGAAUAAGUAGUGUAGCGGUGAAAUGCAUAGAUAUUACUUAGAACACCAAUUGCGAAGGCAGGUCACUAAGAUUUAACUGACGCUGAUGGACGAAAGCGUGGGGAGCGAACAGGAUUAGAUACCCCAGUAGUCCCUGUCUCUUAUAC